AUGUGGCUGGUUUUCCCAUCACCACACAGACUCAGGCUAGAUGGGGAGACCUGCUGGGUUAAGCUUAGAGCACGUGAACCGUAAAGGUGGCCUGGACCUGGGCGACAAGGUUAGAAAGGGCAGAGACUGUGCAUUCUGGAGGUGGUUUGUCCACGGAAGAGAAGAGGCUCACGGAUGAGCUAAGUGUGCCUUUGGCUGCAGCCCUCCCUGCAGUCAGGAAGGCUGGCUGUGUAAGGGUAAAAAGGCAGUCGGGUCUGGUGCGCCCCCUCCCUGCAGCUCUGAGGCAGUGAAUUCCAACAAAGGCUCUGAACAGUGAAGGAGAAGCAGAGUGAGAAAGAUGGGUGACCAAGGCGGCAGGCUUGAGGACUCCGAAAUUGUUCAACAGUUUCGUGGGAGAUUGACACAUUCUAUCCAGAGGGGAAUCCCGGCUUGGGUGGAGGCAGAGAAGAGGGACUGUCCUAAGCUCAUCCUGAAAACAGACUCCUGGGCUGUGCCAAGGGCUCCUGGGGCAUCUGUGGGACUUCAUCAAAGCCACUAGAAGACCUGUGUCCUGCAGCUGGGUGCUGCUCUACAGAGUGGAAGCCAUCAUACUGUGGCGUGGCCACAGGAAGGAUGCCUUGCAGACUCUUUCAUGAAGGAGAAACCUUGAAGGACUGUCUCACCUUCGUUAGGCAAGUAUAGCAGUCAUUUCUCUGUGGGUCCUGCUUGUCCAGUUUAUACAGCAUACUGCCAAGCAGUCCGGGCAAGAGCAGUUUCUUGCCUAAAUGAUUAGCCUUGUCACAUUAAAGGCAAAUUCCAUAAUGAGUUUUUUUCAAUACCCAUCAACCUCUCUGAAGUAAUUGGUGCUGCCAGAAGCAGACAUGCCUCACUAUCAUGAAAAGUCCUAAGUUCUUAAAACAUUUUAAAUGCCAUAUUCUGUAUGUCUUUGAAAGAUUUCAAGAAUAUCUAUCUAUCUGAAAUAUAGCUCUGUACAUCUAGAAAACCUAACAUGACUACAAGCUUGACUAUUAUAGAUACCUAUCUAUUAACCUCUGUUUCUUAAUUAUACGUUACAUUUUUAAAUGAGCUACACAAACAAAAUACCUUAAUCAAGAGCAGAAAUAUACAUAUAACAAAAUUGAACUAAAAUUUGUAUCAAUAAACCAAGAUCCAUACCAAUGCAAAGUAUUCAUCUCUAUAGCAUAUCUUCCUUUAAAUGUAAACAAACAAACAUAAACAAUCAUUCAGAAAAUUUGGGUGUUGUUCUCUAGACUACUUCCUGAUUGGGGGCACUGUUAAUCAGGUCUUUCAUGGGGUAUCCUGUGUGGUGGGUCCAUCUCAGCCAGCAGUCCUGAAGCUGUAAUGGAUGUUGGACCAUCCGGCUAUUGCUUCAGUGGGUCUUGUUUGAUCAAGCCACAUUAGCCGGUAAGGAAUCCACAGCUUUAUGUCCUCUGUGGAAACAAAAACAGAACCUCUUUUCCAAAGCAACGUAUCCUUAGACCCAAAUUUUGAAGCCAAGAUACCUUUAAAAUAUAUAUGUUAGUUUAGCUUAGCAGUCCAUACAAUGAAAUGUCUCUCUGAACUUAGCUCAUUCAUAGUCAAAAAAUUCAUAUACAUAAUCCAGACUCUCUGUGUAUUUUUAUGUUUAUGUAGCUUAUUUUUCUUUACUCCUUUAUUCUAUGACUAUCUGUAUUCUUUAUAUUACUUUUACUGUCUCUUUAAAGACUUUGUUUUAAUUUUUUAAAACCAUUUACUUUAUUUUUAUAACUAUUUUUUAAUCUCUCUCUCAAGCCUAUGUACAUUUUUUAAACACACUGUGACCCAUUUAGAGGUUUAUUUUUAUGUGAAUCUGUCUUUAUUGCGUAUAUGUAAUCAUUUUCUGAUCAGGUACACUUUGUUUUUUUAAUGCUAAGAGGGUGUGGCUAGGACCAACUCCAUGGCCCUGCCUUUUGGCUCUGCCCAGUCCAACAUGGCAGAGGCAUGUUCACUGCCUCUGAGAGCCAUGCUCACUGCCCCAGAUCCAGGGUGAUAGAGGAUCUAUAUCGCUAUUAAGCAAUUUGUAACCCAUUGCUCACAGACCCCAUUUAAGUGCUUGGCCUCUUGAAAGAGCCAGAGCUUAUGCAACUAGCACAAACCAGGAAGCCCUCCCCUAAAGAAGCCUGCAGCCUUUGCGGCCAUGGCUGAGUCAGGAAGACCUCUCUCAAAGGAGGCAUACUUCUGCCUGCUGCCAGCAAACAGAGUCCACACCCCUCCCCCCCAAAAUGCAGCUACCAAAAAGCUUCGCUAAACUGCCAAACUUGUGUUUAUUCGUGUCUAGAAUUGCUUUUCAAGUUUUCUCAGGUUUUAUGUGGCUGUAGUCAGCCCACAUUGGCACUCCAAUUUGUAAACGGAGGCUCUUGUUUGUUUCCUGGCCACCCAGACCUGAAUAAUAUCCCAGAAACUAUAUUAAUUAAAACACUGCUUGGCCUAUUAGUUCAGGCUUCUUAUUAACUAACUCUUCCAUCUUAAAUUAACCUACUCCUAUUAUUUUAUAUUUUACCACGAGGCUCAUAGUUUACCCAUAAGGUCCUGACAGGCAUCUUUCUCCUUUCGUGGCUACAUGGCGUCUCUCUGACUCCGCCUUCUUUCUCCCAGAGUUCAGUCUAGUUUUCCCACCUAGCUCUAUUCUGCCCUGCUAUAGGCUGAAGCAGCCUCUUUAUUAACCAAUGAUAAUAAAACAUAUUCACAGCAUACAGAGGGGAAUCUCACAUCAUAAGAUGAACUUCUAUUAUUCAGAGAAAACUGGAUGUGGUGAGCAGAACUGUAAUCCCAGCACCACACCCAGGAGCAAGGAGAUGGGAGGGUUGCUAUGUGUCCAAAGCUAGCCUGGGCUAAUAUACAUAGUUCUAAGCCAGCCAGGCAUUCAUAGACCCUGUCUCCAAAUUUAUUAAUUAUAAAUUUUAAAGCCAGAGGCCAUGAAGGACAGCAGGCAUUAUUCACAAGCCAGCAUCCUCACCUCGGGCUGCAGGCUGGGUUUUGAGGUCUGGCCAGUCCCAUGGGACAGAGUUCUUUGAAAUGGCAGGAUUGGCCAAACCGAGUAAAUAAAUUUCAAAGCUUGAGCCUGAAGUUAUUUUAUUCUUCUACCUGUUCCUCGGAAAUAGACUCUCUGGAGACUUCUGAAGCUGGGGCUCCCUCAAGGGAGUUCGUGGACUUUCUCAGAAUAGUCCACACCCAGACACCGCCAUGUUAGCUCUGACCACCUAGGGAUUAAUCAGCAGAGCCACCAGGCUGUUACCCAGCAAGCAGGGUGCUUCAAACCCAGGUGAUCAACAGCAGUGGCUAGAGGAUCUAUUUCUCCUCCUCUUCGUCCCCAGGGAUGGCUGCCUGGCACCGUGAACUCUGCCAGCUUUCUGUGGGCGCCUUGAGGAGAAAGCCCACAGAGAACUGGGAUUGGGGGUGCGGGGAGAAGCAGGUCCCGAAGUGAGCUCUGAGGAGAAGACAGAGAGGCCUCAGUCUCAUUUCUCUCUGAGUCUUGGCUCACCUCAGCAUAUUAGAGAUCGAUGCUGUUGUAACUGAUGCAGACUGUGCAAGGGCUGGUUCCAGACAGGCACAAGCUCAUUUAAUCCUCAUAACUCCCAGAAGAACCAGGCCUUCUAUCUGGGCUUCCAGAUGAGAGGAGGGAGAUGAGGAGAAGUAAGAUUGCUCUUCAGGAUUGCCUAGCUGUGGGGGAGCUAGAGCUGGCACCUAGGGCGUGAGCUCUGCCAAACUUUCUACUUUCUCAGUGGACACAGCAGCAGCGUUUACAGAGUCCCUGCUAUGGGCCAGGCGGUUACGGGAACCCUGUCGCUGGUCCGCUAGUCAAUGAAAAGGAGCAGUUUGGUCCAAAGGGCGGAGUACAAGACACAAAAGAGAAGACGGAACCCAGGUCUGCCCCUCUGGGACAAGGAGGGUGAGCAGAGCAGCGGCAAGGCAGCUGGUGACCCGUUUCGGAUUCCCCGUUCUUUCUUGUGAUUGCUGUGCACGGAUUUUGCUCGAUAAUAAACGGUACAGCAAUCCUCUGGCUCCCUUCAUCGCCGGUACUGUGCUGAAUACUUUCCGUCUGUCUUGAGUCUUGGAGGUACCCUUUCCUCAACCGCUCUUUACCAAGUCACCGACAUCAGACGUGUGGCUGUGAGGCUGUGCAGUACACAACAGGUUCUGGGGUGUGGCAGAAACAUGCGUGUCUAUUCCAGACUGAGACAGGAUGGGCCUCUUGUCACGUACAUGACACCGUUACUUGUUAUGUACAUAACACCGUCACUUGUCAUGUAUGUGACACCAUCUUGGGCUGCUCAUAAAGUUCUUCCAAUGCCACUUCCAAACAAGCCCUAAAGCCUAGCUCUCGUCACCCCAACCUAUCCCAGUUCAGCUGCCACCAUUCGACAGCAAGAUCAGGUGCUGGGCUCUGGGCUCUGUUCUCCCUUCCCUCCCCAGCAGCCCUGACCCCAGCUUUGCCUGGCUCCUUACCAAGGCUCUCUUUGUUAGGGAAGGGCAAGCAGCUGGCCCUGGAGUGGCAUAGACUUUCCAAAGGCUCAGAGGCUACCCCCACCGCCUCCUCAGUUGGCUCACCCACAGGGGCAGUGUUCCGCUCUAACCACCAGGACCAGCUACCAACUCUGUAGUCCCUGUGCCUGUUGAAACGGUGCAAAUAGGUCAGGCCUUACCCAUCUCCAGCACCUCCCUCCUGUUCCCAAGGAGACCACACUAGAGAAUCCUGCCUCCUGACUGCUGAGGCGGUUCUCUGGGUGCCCUCCCAGGCCAUGACGUUCACCCUUCUCUGGAGAUCUGUAAGAAGUUCUUUUAGUGGACGAUGCCUUGGUCUGUGGCCUUGGUCAAGUUAAGCAAUAGUGUAGCCACUAUUUAUAUUUUCCGUGCGUAUGUGGUUAUAAGCCUAGCUACGUGUGGGCACUCCUGUGUCCACAUGUAUGUGGAGACCCAAGGCUGACACUGGGUGUCUUCCUCAGCGACUCUUCACUUUAUUCGUUGAGGCAAGGCCUCUCAAUCGUACCCAGAGCUAACCUGUCUGGCUAGUCUAGCUAUCCAGCUUGCUCCGGUUUUCCUCCGUCUCUUCCUGGAGUUGCAGGUGGGCUGCCACACCCAGCCGGUAUUUACAUACUUGUGUAGCAAGCUCUUCAUCCACGGAGCCAUCUCCCCAGCAGCCCCUGUAGCCAAUAUUUUAAAGCCAACCCCCAGUAGCUUCCUUCAGACUUAGAAUAAAAUCCAGCCAAACUGGGUAUGAUGGCACACACCUAUGAUCCCCCCCACACACACACACACGGGUUGCUGAGGCAGGAGGAUUACUAUGAGUCCAAGCCUAGCCUGGGUUUCUCGCAAGGCUGUCUUAGGCUACUCUUCUCAUCCCUGUGACAGAAUAGCAGACUAAAGAGACUUAGUGAAGGAACGCUUUGUUAUGACUCACAUGGGAAGGAGGCCACUUCACUACUGCAUGCACUGUCGUGGGUGUGGGGGAACGCCGAGGAGCACCGUGGGGGCGGGCAGGAGAGAUGAGGGUGCCGAAGUGAAGCGAUGAGAGCAGUGUGAAAUUGUAAGAAAGCAGAGAGGAGACCGGGUGCGUGCCUGCCAGGGGCUAGCAGUCUCUGCACGUGGAAGAGGAACUGAUCUUGCUGGCAGGAGGACAUUGGUCCACACAUGGGAAGCGUUCAGGGCUUUGGACAAGGGCUGCUACCUUUGUGUCAAAGCGGCCCCAGAGGGUAAGUAAGGACUAAUGGCUUGCUUGGUAACCUCUCUGCUCCCAACCUGUUCGGCAUCUCUCCCCAUCCCUAAACACAUGAGAGUUUCGUGCCUCCAGGCCUCCUUAGGCUUGGCAGGAAGGCAAGCCUCUGCCAGGCUUUUGAUGGCAUCCUUGAUAACAGGGCUGGGAGCCAGAAAGAGAAGCCAGGAGUGGGAAUUGGGCCCUGCCUUGGCCUCUGGCUUCUCUGAACUGGCUCUGUCUUCACCAGCCGAUUCUGGUGAGAGAUUCUGGGAAGCAGGAUGUUGCUGAGGCCAAGUAAACUCUCAAAGGCCUGGAAGGAGUCAGGAAGCAAAGGGCAGGAUGCCCUGCCUGCCCAGCUUCUCUCUGCCUUGUAGAAAAGGUCUCUGAUUGCUCUUCUCCAGGGCUCUGUGGUCCUUGCUACUCCCAGCCACUCUGGUGAUCAACAUUUACGAUGUUGCUCUCCCCAAACCCUGGGAUGAUGGUGGGAGGGAAGUUCUCUCUCUGGUGGUCCAGAGGGGAUUGGCUUUAAGCUGCAGAGGCAAUCUUUCCGGGUAUUGGAAUUGUUCUACAAACAAUGCGGGUUGGGGCACUGCAUCGUGAAGAUGACUCCGGUUCAGAGCCCUCAGUGGCCCCAGGUUGGGCUCCCAGAGCCUGCAGAUCACAAAGGCCUGUAACCCCAGUUUCAGGGGAUCUGAUGCCCUCUUCUGGACACUGUAGGUACAAGGCACUCACGUGGUGCACUUUACAUACCUGUAGCCAAAACACCCCGUGCACAUAAAAUAAAAUAAACCUUUUUAAAAAUCG